rnacentral:misc_RNA from 1 species
GAAAUUCGGCGACUCGAAUGCGAUUGACUUGCAACCGGGCUGAACAUCCCCACCACUGCAUAAUUCGCUCGGUGAGACAAACAGCGGCGCGGUGUGGCAUUCGUAGGUCGAAGAUCGCGUCGUUAAAACGUAUCAACUCGCGACAGGUUAUUGGCGUCAGUUAAGAAGACAUAUUGGCGCCAAGAAACAGGAAUUCAAAUAUGGACGCCAUAACGGUCAAAAUUUAAUUUAAUGGUUUUUCAUGGAGAUGGAUAAGUUUAUAUUGCCCUUUCAUUGAAUCAUUGAGAAUGUUCGUGACCAUGUGCAAUGCGGUUGAUAGAGUCAGUGUUUGUAACGCAGUAGUUUUUUCUUAAUAUUCUUUAGAGCACAAUAGCUCUUAUUAAAUUUAAUUGCAAUAGUCAUACGCGAAAUUAGAUUCAUUGUUUGUUCGGCGUUUUAUUUAAACGAGCGUGUUAGUAGUACUUUAUUUUUCUUUUUUUGUUUACACUCCUUUCCAAGUACUAUUCGUUUUCGGCAUUAGAAUCAAUGCUCAAGAGGAUAAAGCCUUUGCCAGGAGUUUAAGAGUAU